rnacentral:rRNA from 1 species
UACGUAGGGUGCGAGCGUUGUCCGGAAUUAUUGGGCGUAAAGGGCUCGUAGGCGGUUUGUCGCGUCGGGAGUGAAAUCCACUGGCUUAACUGGUGGCUUGCUUUCGGUACGGGCAGACUGGAGGUAUGCAGGGGAGAACGGAAUUCCUGGUGUAGCGGUGAAAUGCGCAGAUAUCAGGAGGAACACCAGUAGCGAAGGCGACACUCUGGGCCGGUACUGACGCUGAGGAGCGAAAGCGUGGGGAGCAAACAGG